rnacentral:lncRNA from 1 species
UCGUCUCUAUCAAAAAAAAAGUUCCCUGAAUUUGAUUUCGGUUCCCGUAUUUAUAAUGGGAGGGGAGGAGUUAGUUAAGAAUUCAAAAUUCGAAAUUCGAAUUUUGAAUUAUUUGUUGGAUUGUUGGAGGAUAUUUGGGGAGUGGUUGGGAAUUCAAAAUUCGAAUUCGAAAUCAAAUGAGUUGUUGGAUAGUUGGAGGAUAUUUUGGGAGUUGGUUAGGGAAUUCAAAAUUCGAAAUCGAAUUUUGAAUGGGUUGUUGAAUGAUAUUUUGGAAAUUGGUUGGAAAUUCAAAAUUCGAAAUCGAAUUUCGAAUGGGUUGUUGGAUGAUGUUUUGGGAAAUGGUUGAGAAUUCGAAAUUCGAAAUCGAAUUUUGAAUGAGUUGUUGAAUGAUAUUUUGGGAAUUGGUUAGGGAAUUCAAAAUUCGAAAUCAAAUUUUGAAUGGGUUGUUGGAUGAUGUUUUGGGAAUUGAUUAGGGAAUUCAAAAUUCGAAAUCGAAUUUUGAAUGAGUUGUUGAAUGAUAUUUUGGGAAUUGGUUAGGGAAUUCGAAAUUCGAAAUUCGAAAUCGAAUUUCGAAUGAGUUGUUGGAGGAUGUUUUGGAAAUUGGUUGGGAAUUCGAAAUUCGAAUCGAAUUUCGAAUGUGUUGUUGGAUGAUAUUUUGGGAAUUCAAAAUUCGAAAUUUGAAUGGAUUAUUGGAGGAUAUUUUGGUAAUUUGUUGGGGGUUCAAAAUUCAAAAUUCGAAUUUUGAAUGGAUUAUUAGAUGGUAUUUUGGGAAUUCAAAAUUCGAAAUUCGAAUUUUGAAUGGAUUAUGAUUUGAAAUCGGAUUUCGACUAGAUACUUUAUAAGGUGUGGGUGUGGGCCGUCGUUGAUCAGACCCACCUUAAUUUAUUGGGCUCAAAUAAUAACGGGCUGAAAUAAAGGCCCUUCCUCACUUUUUUUUUUUAUUUGUUUUUUUUUUAUUUAUUUGUUUGGGCUUUCGUAAGGGCUCACCCACUCACAUUUUUUUUAUUUGUUUGGGCUUUCGUAAGGGCCCACCUGCUCACAUUUUUAAAUGGGCUUAUUGUAUAUUAUAAUUAUUGACCCGAGAAAAUUAAUGAUUAAUACGAGACCUAUUAGGAUUGUAUGAACUCGAAUCUAAUCAUUUUUUUUAUUAGGAUUAGAAUUGUUUCAACCUAUAUAUAUGUAUGGCAAGUAUUAUUUUACUUCAAACAGUUGUAUUUAGGGUUUUUAAUGGACGAUAAGUGGAGGUA